GAUGAACGCUGGCGGCGUGCCUAAUACAUGCAAGUCGAGCGAACGGACGAGAAGCUUGCUUCUCUGAUGUUAGCGGCGGACGGGUGAGUAACACGUGGAUAACCUACCUAUAAGACUGGGAUAACUUCGGGAAACCGGAGCUAAUACCGGAUAAUAUUUUGAACCGCAUGGUUCAAAAGUGAAAGACGGUCUUGCUGUCACUUAUAGAUGGAUCCGCGCUGCAUUAGCUAGUUGGUAAGGUAACGGCUUACCAAGGCAACGAUGCAUAGCCGACCUGAGAGGGUGAUCGGCCACACUGGAACUGAGACGCGGUCCAGACUCCUACGAGAGGCAGCAGUAGGGAAUCUUCCGCAAUGGGCGAAAGCCUGACGGAGCAACACCGCGUGAGUGAUGAAGGUCUUCGGAUCGUAAAACUCUGUUAUUAGGGAAGAACAUAUGUGUAAGUAACUGUGCACAUCUUGACGGUACCUAAUCAGAAAGCCACGGCUAACUACGUG
rnacentral:rRNA from 1 species